rnacentral:siRNA from 1 species
CUAACGCAAUGUGAUUUCUGC